rnacentral:rRNA from 1 species
GACGAACGCUGGCGGCGCGCCUAACACAUGCAAGUCGAACGAGCGAGAGAGAGCUUGCUUUCUCAAGCGAGUGGCGAACGGGUGAGUAACGCGUGAGGAACCUGCCUCAAAGAGGGGGACAACAGUUGGAAACGACUGCUAAUACCGCAUAAGCCCACAGGUCGGCAUCGACCAGAGGGAAAAGGAGCAAUCCGCUUUGAGAUGGCCUCGCGUCCGAUUAGCUAGUUGGUGAGGUAACGGCCCACCAAGGCAACGAUCGGUAGCCGGACUGAGAGGUUGAACGGCCACAUUGGGACUGAGACACGGCCCAGACUCCUACGGGAGGCAGCAGUGGGGAAUAUUGCACAAUGGGGGAAACCCUGAUGCAGCGACGCCGCGUGGAGGAAGAAGGUCUUCGGAUUGUAAACUCCUGUUGUGGAGGAAGAUAAUGACGGUACUCAACAAGGAAGUGACGGCUAACUACGUG